AAAGCUAAAAAUAGGUUCUUUUGAGCUUUUUUUAGGAAAAAAAAAAAUUAAAACAAAAUUCAUUAAAUAAAAAUAUAUAUUAUUUAGGCAUUGUUUGUCCAAAAAAAAAAAAAAUUUGGCCCAAAAAUAAAUUAAAAAACCUAUUUUUUUUUUUUUUUUGUUUUUUCCCUUAAAAUUUGUUUUUUUUUUUUUUUUGAAAAUUUUUUUGCUUUAAAUUUUAAAUGUAAGGCCAAAUAGUGUAUUUGGCCAUUAAGGCACUAUUUCUACAGUACCAAAUAGUGCCUUAACGGCUAUAAUUUAAAAAAAAAAAGUUUAAAAAUUCAAAUUUUACCCUUUUUUUUUUGUUUUUUCCCUUAAAAUUUGAUUUUUUAUUAAUUUUUUUGCUUUAAAUUUUAAACGUGUAGGCCAAAUAGUGUAUGUGGCCGUUAAGGCACUGUUUCUACAGUACCAAAUAGUGCCUUAACGGCUAUAAUUUUAAAAAAAAGUUUAAAAAUUCAAAUUUUUUAACUUUAUUCAAAAAAAAUAAAUAAAUUAAAAUUUUUAAAAUCUCUAGAAAUACCCCAAUUCCUACCAUCACUCAUCACAUCUCUAUUAUCUACCAUUCAACUUAUUUCUUCUUCUAUUUUCUCAAUCUUAGCUAUUAUUUUCAAAGUCAUUUCGAUUCCAUGGAUCCUCGACAUCCAUAUCAUUACAACACCUAAUUCAAUCCAUCAAACGAUGAGUUUUUGCCAUUUCCUGAAGAGAAUAUCAAUUAUUAUGAAGGAGAUUCUCAAUUUCCUUCUCGUCAACCAUCCCAACCUUCUUAUCAACCAUCCCAAACUUCUCAUCAAUAUUGUGGUACUAGUGUUCCACAAUCAAGUAACUCAAAACCCCCGUCAAAACAACCAGCUACUCGACAUAAUAAUUGGACCAAGGCUGAAGAUGAAGCUUUAUGCUGGGCGUGGUUGUCCAUUACCUCUGAUGCGAUUACGGAGGCAGACCAAAGUAAGCAGAAGUUAUGGGAGCGAAUUCUGGAACAAUAUAAACAACAUAUUGGUGUUCCAACUGAGCGAAAUGAUGAAGGUUUGAUGAAUCGUUGGUCAGUGAUACAACAAAAAAUCAGCAAAUUUUCCAGCUGCAUGACUACCAUAGAAAUGAAUCGUCCCAGCGGCUUCAGCAGUGAUGAUAUGAUGAUAGCAGCUAAAGACCUGUUUUGUAGCCAAACAGGUGGUGAAUUUAAGUUAGAAAGUUAAUGGGAGAUCUUGAAGCAUAACAAUAAAUGGAAUUAACAUUGUGCCGAACAAGUAGGAAAAGGAAAAAAGAAAAAAGAGACGAAGAAGAGGAGUGGAUUUGACUUUGACAUUAAUGAGUCUGUUGGGCACUCAUUACCAUCUACUCCGUCAAGUCAUGAAGCCACGACAGAUGGAGCUUCAACUGAAGAAUCACCACACGUAGGGGAAAAUGAUUCACCCUGUGUGGAAGAAUAUCAACUACAAAGACCAGCAAGAAGAAAAGCGGCGAAGCAGCGUCGAGCAAAAAUUAAUUCAGCGAAUGAAUUGCAAAUUUCAUUCGUUUCGAAAUUUAAUAAUAUCACCACCCGUUUUGAGAGUCUUCAGGAAAAAAUGCAAGAUGCCUAAGUGGCACGAGAGGUAAGAAAAAUGGAAAAAGAGAAGACAAGGCAGCUAGAGAUUAAAGAGAAACAGGGACUUGAAGAGAAGGAGCUUAAGUUAACAAAUCCAAAUUCGGCACCAACAGAAGCAGAAAAAGCUUGGAUUAUUGCACGACAAAAUGAGAUAUUGGAAAAGCUUGGAAAAGCUUGAAUUCACAGUCCGCCCCAAAGUUCCCAUAGGAUUUUGUAAUCCUUGGUCUAUUUAUUUUCUUAUUUCAAUUUAGGAUAUUGUAUUAUUUAAGUUAUUUUUAAUUAUUUUGUUUUUUUUUUUUUUUUUAAUCCAUAAUGGAUAAUGUAUUGUUUUAAGUUUUAAUAUCAAUCGUAGUUUUUUUAAUAAUUUACAAAAAUAUUGUUUGAUUGAAAAAUAUUGCCGUUGAGAAAAUAUUGCCUUUUAGGAAAAGUUUAAAAAAAAAAAUUUAAUUUUAAUUUUUUAUUAUUAUUUUUUUUAAGAGCGAAAAUUCGGAGAGUUUGAUGAAGUGAAUGUUUUUGAACUUAAAACUGCUAAUGUGGCUCUUAAAAAAGUUGAUGUGGCGUUUUUAAAGAGGCAAAAUUCGAAGAGGCCGGUGCAGAUGGCCUUAGCAAAUAAAAAAUAGGCUCUUUACCUUUCACAGAAGCGCAUUGUUAAAGAGUCAUUUCCCGUAUCAUUGUACCUUAUAUUGUUCCUCAAACGAGACUCUGAACCACUUGUUCUUCUCGUGUGAAUUCAUUUUCCCAAUUUGGAACUACACACAGAGUAUUUGUGGAUUUCACAUCAACCCUUCUUCAUCGAAUGCCCCAUUUAUCUGGGCAGCUCACCAUUGGCAAUCAAGUUCCAUUUCGAACUCUAUAAGCAAAUUGGCCAUCUCAGCUGCCGUCUACCAUAUCUGGAUGGAAAAUAAAUUGUCUGAUCUUUAGGGGCUCUCUCAAAACUCAACACAUGCUUCAAUUUGAGAUUCGCAAGGCCAUCAGAGAAUGAUUGCUAUCUUCCUCCUUCAAAAAUGGUCUAGCCGCUCAGCGUGCCCGUCGCGCUUAGGAUCUACAGCCAUCUUGCAUCAGGGCCUUCACCGCGUCCGCCGGCUAACCAGUCUCAGAGCAAAUUCAUCCAUUUACAGGAAUGAGGACGUUCCAUCAACAACACCGGAUUGGCUCUUCAGAAGAGUUGGGGCUUUCGGAUCUAAUGCCAUAUGUAUUGGUUCUUGAAAUAAAAAUUGGGCUUUCAGCCAAUCUUUUGUUCAUGUUAGGCAUUUUAGCCCACUCCACUCAUUAAGACCCCUAUAAAUAUCGUCUUAUAUAUAUAUAUUGUUUAACCAUUCGAACAAACGAAAAAAUAAAUAAAAUAAAAAAAUU